UACGUAGGCAGCAAGCGUUGUUCGGAAUUACUGGGCGUAAAGAGUGUGUAGGCGGUGUUCUAAGUUUGUCGUGAAAUCUCCCGGCUUAACUGGGAGGGUGCGGCGAAAACUGGAAUGCUAGAGGAUGGGAGAGGUAAGCGGAAUUCCAGGUGUAGCGGUGAAAUGCGUAGAUAUCUGGAGGAACACCCGUGGUGCAGACGGCUUGCUGGACCGUGACUGACGCUGAGGCACGAAAGCGUGGGUAGCAAACAGG
rnacentral:rRNA from 1 species